rnacentral:rRNA from 1 species
AGCGAACGCUGGCGGCAGGCCUAACACAUGCAAGUCGAGCGCCCCGCAAGGGGAGCGGCAGACGGGAGAGUAACACGUGGGAACGUGCCCUUGGUUCGGAACAACCCAGGGAAACUUGGGCUAAUACCGGAUAAGCCCUCACGGGGAAAGAUUUAUCGCCGAAGGAUCGGCCCGCGUCUGAUUAGCUAGUUGGUGGGGUAAUGGCCCACCAAGGCGACGAUCAGUAGCUGGUCUGAGAGGAUGAUCAGCCUCACUGGGACUGAGACACGGCCCAGACUCCUACGGGAGGCAGCAGUGGGGAAUAUUGGACAAUGGGCGCAAGCCUGAUCCAGCCAUGCCGCGUGGGUGAUGAAGGCCCUAGGGUUGUAAAGCCCUUUCGGCGGGGAAGAUAAUGACGGUACCCGCAGAAGAAGCCCCGGCUAACUUCGUGCCAGCCGCCGCGGUAA